UUAGGGUUUGCGUGAGAUGAAAGUGUGUGAGUCAGAUUGAAUUCUUCAGAGCUGCCUGGGGGUUGCUCUGAGUUCUCUGUCAGGUUUCUCUCCAGGUUUUGUCAAGGGUUUUGUUUCAAGGAAACCUCAGAGUAUUUUGCUUCUCUUCCUUUUUCUGUCUGAUCUCCCUCUUUUAUAACCUGAUUUUCAUGGCUUUGUGGGCUCAAAUGAGAGAGGUCCAAGUCCAAGUUUUUUCUAUUAUAUU
rnacentral:lncRNA from 1 species